UUUCAAAGGUUUGGAAAAAAAAAAAUUUAAUCUGCUCUUCUUGAACAGAGAAGAAAAGUUAUCAGUGAAGAAAGAACAUUAACACUUUUCUCUUUUAAACUUGAAAUUCUUUUGAUUUAUAACAAUUUGACAAGAAAAGUGUUUCAAAAGAAGGAGAAUAAUUAUCAAUAACGAAUGAAAUAGCUUUCUCGUCGUGAAACUUGUAAAGCCAAGUAUUUCGGUAGCAUGGUUGUAGAAUCGGUGCGUCGGAUCUCUAUGCACAAUGAAUGCUGGCACAAGGAGUUACCGCAAUGGUGCCAUUUGCUGCCGGAAACGUUGACCAGGGUAUCGUAAAGAAGUUCAGAGAAGCCUCGAAAAUGCUCACUGGAAGACGACUUCUUUCCUUUGCGUGGCUGAAAGAAAUUGAAUUUACCGUUUCGCGAGAACCACUAAGAUCUAGCAACGUUCGAAUCUCGUGGCCAUCUUGGACCCAUCUUAGAGAAGCCAUUAAAGAGAAACGAAAUAGGCCACGUGGCAAACGAAUCCCUGAUGGAAUGUUAAAGUUCGACGUCCAUGAAAGGAAACCAUUUCUCAACCAACUCUUCGAACGGUAACGAUAGUAGAAGAAAAGAAGGGGCAUGAAGGAAGUUUCGCAGAAACGUAAUAACUCUGGCAAAGAUUAGACGGAUAAGGGGGAACCGUCAAGACGUCUACUUCGAGGAAUCUAAUUAAUCUUAAUCAAUAGAAGAAUUUAAUUCGUAAGAGUAAGUACGUCUAUCGCUUAGAAAUUAACGUUCAAUAAAUGAUCUGAAGGAGAUAGAGGAUCAAGGAGUGCGUCGUAAAGAUUUAUGGUUCAUGAAUCAACGUGAAGACACGAAACGUGGAAUCCAUCUUGGAAACUAUUGGAUGAAAGGAAGAAUGCUUGCACAUUGUCGACAGACACCAGGAACGAGAAUCUGAACAAGAUUAGGCUAGUUUCCAAGUCAACCGAAAGGACAGCCGUGCCACGCGACACUUUGCCGGCGACUGGUCCCUAAUGAUCGUUCGCAUUUGUCGAAUUUAAUUCCGGAUAUUCGAUUCCUAAAUGCCUCGGGGCGAGACGAAAGCCAGCUGCCGGUCGAAUCGAUUCGAACAUAUCCCUGCUGGAGUUCAAGGGGUUGGAUAGUUAUCGGAAACGUGGCUAAAAACGAUAGACUAUAGAAGACGGGAAUGAAAUACUAUCUUGACCCUGUUUACCAGCCAGUCGGCCUAUAGAUUCUUUGCUUAUGAGUCGCUUGUUUAAACUGAUAUCUGAUAACACAGUUUCCUUGAUCGCAAUCAUAUAGUAUCUACCAGUAUUACUCGAUAAUAUUUCAUCACUUGUCGCAUGUAGAUGUGGGUCGGUCAAUUAAUUAAAUUGGAUUUUUCUUCUUAAAAAAUAUGAUAUAAAUGAAUUAAAAAAAAAAAGAAUGUCGUUAUAGUCGAUAUAACUUACAUUCUGCUGCUACUUUUAUAUACAAACAAUUGUCGAAUUGCAUUUACAAAAAUUUUUUACUAUAUGAUUUAUAUUGUUUUUGUGAAAUAAUAUUCUGCAAGAUAACAUUUAUCUUAUAUAAUGUUAUUCGAUAAAUAUUUGUAAUAUCAUAUUGGCAAAUGAAUCAUUGCAUACAUUUAAUGAUUAUUGAUAUGUAAUGUACAAUAUAUAUUGAUAAAACAUAUGAUUACAGGGUGAAAAAUAAUUAACAAAAGCAAUGCAUAACGAAUAGUAGAGAUUGACAAGGCCAAGAAAUAGUUAAAGGAAUACUGGAAAUGCUCGCGCCUUGCGACAUUAAUCCAUUUUCAGAUAACCAUGCUCUCUGGUCGCUUAAACUGUUUCCUCUGUCGUCAGACAAAACGACAAGACAAUCGGAUCUUUUACGAAUUAUGCACAAUUAUGUCACGGUCGUGGAUAUUAAAAAUUUUUAAAUUUUGAAUAUCAUUUUCAAAUUUUUAUGUAAGCAUAAAAACGUCUAAUCGAUAGAAAUUGCGCAUGAACGAACAAUGCACUUUACGUUUAAUAGCGUUGUUAAAAAUUAUGAUUAUGAAUUGGAAAAUGGCUUGAAAGUUUUGAAACUAGAGGAGAAUCUUUAUAGUUCAACGGGUUAGAACAAAGAUAUUGAGGUAUUAAACUGGAUAAGUAUAUAUGAUUAUUAUCUCUUUCUACAUCAUUUUAGUUAAGUUUAAAAUAUGUAUUUUUGUUAGAUAUCAAGUAAUAUUUUUAAAAUGUAUAAUUUCACAGAUCACAGUAUUUCUGACAACUAUCCACAUUGCAAAUGCUGCUCUUACAAACAAUAAUUAUAGAAAAUCAUGUAAGACAACAUAAAAACUCGAAUAUUUAUGAAAUCUCAUGAUAGACUGAGAAAUAAUGUACACAUCACAUAUUUUCAAUUUUGAAUAUCAUUUCACAUUCAACCCAUAUACAUUUCACGUGUUUACAAGUUGAUUCAACAAAAGAUUUCUUCCUUUUCAUUUUACAGAAUCUGCCUCGAUCAUUAAGCGAAGAUAAUCACGAUGGCGGACGCAUAACUUGAUCAAUCCUCGACGAUCUUGGCGAUGUAUUUUUUUUUUUCUUCUCCUUAUUUCUUUUCCUUAUUUCUCUCUCCCUUUUUAGUUCGCAGUUGCGCAAUCUUCCCCGUACUUUGAACGGUCUCGUUUUACCGUCUGCUCCGCUCCUUCGAGCAGAUUUAUUCUAUUUAUUCGCUCAACCUCGAGGGAAGUCGGCCGAUUACGUCGAAAUUCCUUCUCCAAAGCCCUCCGAAUCGACCUCUUUCCAAUCUUUCUCUCGCUCUUCCUUUUUUCCCCUCUCCUCCCUCUCUUUUUCUCUCUUCUAGCCAAGCUUUCGAGUGUUUACUCGCGUGUUCGAGUUCUGUCAGUAUCACACGCUCUCCGCCAAACAAAUCGAUCGUCUCCUAUCGCCGCCUCUUUUCGCCGAUUUUCGCCCGCCUUUCGACUCGACCGAUCCCCCGGGACCACGAAGCUUUUGCGGGUGAGAAAGGCAAGACCAGCAAGAUCAAUUCGAAGCAAUGAACGGUAUAUGCAUCGUUUCCACGAUACAACAAUACACGUAACAAAUGUUCUCUCACAAAUAUAAUAAGCGUCCACCUGAAAUAUACAAUCUAGAUAAAACGACAAAGUUAAAUUCUACUUACAUGUCCAAGGAUCAGCCACGUUGAACGACCGGCUUAGGUACGAAGUUCUCGUCGCCUGGUGCGAGGAGAAUCGGCUUGGCAACCGAUGGAGUCGCGCGUGUGAACGUCCCUCGACACACAACGUGCACGCUUAUCCGGGCUUCACAGCCGCGUCUUCCCUUCUAUUGCGACGUCGCACCUCCUCAUCUCGCCAUCACUUGUCCACGCAGAGAUUCUUCCUCACUUUCCUUCACUAAAAAUUCCAUCUGUCGUAUCUUCCUCCGAAAACACAAGAUA